rfam:Bacteroides clarus YIT 12056 genomic scaffold Scfld11, whole genome shotgun sequence.
GCAGUUGGUCGGUUUGUCGCUUGCGCCCUGUGCGUAUGAGGAAAGUCCGGGCAACACAGAGCAUCCUACUUCCUAACAGAAAGCUGUCCGCGAGGGUAGAGUAACGUAGAAGAAAAUAACCGCCAUGCUCUUCCUGAGUAUGGUAAGGGUGAGAAGGUGGGGUAAGAGCCUACCGGCCUUGUGGUGACACAAGGGCUGUACGUCUUGGGAGUUGUAAGGUCAUGUAAACCGACGCUAUGAGAGCUGCUCGCUCCAUGUCGGAGGGUAGACCGCUAAAGCCGGUAUGGCAACAUACGGCUCAGAUAAAUGACAGACACUUCUUGAAUGAAGAAGGAAGAAUGAGGAAUGAAGAAUUCCGAAAACGACCUCUUCCGGAACAGAAGAACAGAACCCGGCUUACAGACCGACUGCUUUU